AAAAGACUUAGUCCUAACCUUGCUAUUAACUCUUGCCUAACACAUACAUGCAAGUAUCCGCAUCCCAGUGUAAAUGCCCUCAGCCCUUAUUAAGGCACGAGGAGCAGACAUCAGGCGCGCACACAGUAGCCCAAAACGUCUUGCUUUGCCACUCCCCCACGGGUACUCAGCAGUAGUUAAUAUUACGCCAUAAGUGUAAACUUGACUUAGUUAAGGCACUCAAGGGCCGGUAAAUCUUGUGCCAGCCGCCGCGGUCAUACAAGAGGCCCAAGUUAACCACACACGGCGUAAAGAGUGGGCACCACCAUAUUACCAUAGCCAGAACCAAAAUGUACCCAUGCUGUCAUAAGCUCACGAUACACCUAAAGCCGUCAACACAGUUCUGACUCCCGUGAUUAACCUAACCCCACGAAAGCUAGGACACAAACUGGGAUUAGAUACCCCACUAUGCCUAGCCCUAAAUCUCGAUGCCCGACCUUACUAAAACAUCCGCCCGAGAACUACGAGCAUAAACGCUUAAAACUCUAAGGACUUGGCGGUGCCCCAAACCCACCUAGAGGAGCCUGUUCUAUAAUCGAUAAUCCCCGAUCCACCUAACCACUUCUUGCUAAAAUCAGCCUAUAUACCGCCGUCGCCAGUUCACCUUCCUUGAAAGCCCAAUAGUGAUCAUAACAGCCAGUUUGCUAAUAAGGCAGGUCAAGGUAUAGCCCAUGAAGUGGAAGAAAUGGGCUACAUUUUCUAUCAAUAGGAAACUUUACGGAAAAGGGUAUGAAACUGCCCUUAGAAGGAGGAUUUAGCAGUAAAGCGGGACAACGAGAGCCCGCUUGAAACCGGCCCUGGGGCACGUACAUACCGCCCGUCACCCUCUUCACAAGCCACAAAUCCCAUAUAACUAAUAUCUUCCUGUUAAGCUAAAGAUGAGGUAAGUCGUAACAAGGUAAGUGUACUGGAAAGUGCACUUAGCACACCAAGACG
rfam:Mesitornis unicolor contig69339, whole genome shotgun sequence.